rnacentral:rRNA from 1 species
GCAUAUCAAUAAGCGGAGGAAAAGAAACUAACAAGGAUUCCCCUAGUAACGGCGAGUGAACAGGGAAGAGCUCAAAUUUGUAAUCUGGCGUGCUUUGUGCGUCCGAGUUGUAAUCUAUAGAAGCGUUUUCCGUGCUGGACCACGUCCAAGUCCCUUGGAACAGGGUAUCAAAGAGGGUGACAAUCCCGUACUUGACGUGACAACCAGUGCUCUGUGAUACGUUCUCUACGAGUCGAGUUGUUUGGGAAUGCAGCUCAAAACGGGUGGUGAGUUCCAUCUAAAGCUAAAUAUUGGCGAGAGACCGAUAGCGAACAAGUACCGUGAGGGAAAGAUGAAAAGCACUUUGGAAAGAGAGUUAAACAGUACGUGAAAUUGUUGAAAGGGAAACGAUGA